rnacentral:snRNA from 1 species
GGAUAUGAGGGUGAUCUGGCUGUGACAUCUGUCACCCCAUUGAUCGCCAGGAUUGAUUUACCUGAUCUGGCUAGCUAGGCAAGUGUCUCCUUCCUUUCUCACCGCUCCAUGUGCAUCCCUCUCGAAGAUGGGUGCUCAGUGGAAGAGAACGACCUUUCCCAAUAGAGGAGAGAACCAUUUUUCGGUCAAGGGUAUAUGAGUAGCUGAACUCCCCUGCUAGAACCUCCAAACAAGCUCUCAAGAAGAUGAAAAUCAAUACCUGUUACGAUGACUAUCAUCAAAAAGACAAGAGAUAAUAACUGU